rnacentral:lncRNA from 1 species
UUAAGUUUUAGUAAUAACAAGUUAUUUUAAAGAAUGUUUUUAUAUCAUAGAGAUUUGUAGUUGUCAUAAUAUGCUAUUGUAGAUAUUACAGAUAUAUAUAUAUAUAUAUAUAUAUAUAUAUUAUACCUACUUCAUAUUAAAAUAUUCAUAUAAAUAUUAAAAAAUAUGAACUUGUACCUUCAAUGCUGCUAUCUUGUGGUUAAUUGACAAAUCUAAUGGUUGAAUUUGACAACUCUAUCUCAUUGUCCCAAUCUUUACAACUAAUGCAUAUCAUACCUAAUGUUUCCUCUUAUUAUUGAAAUAAGAGUAAUGCCCAACUUGAUACCUUGUGACAACAAACAUCUGAAUUAGCAAAAUCCUUUGUGGAUAAUUUAUUUGCAAUUCCAAUCUAUAGAUAAUUUUGUUCAAACCUUUAAAAGUAACUAUGAUAUAAGUAAUCAACUAUGAAAGAAUAUGCAAUCAAUUGAGAUUAAAGUGUAUCCUUUAAACAUAACCAUUCUAAAAAAUUUACAUCUUUCUUAUACAAAUACAUUCUUACCAGAUUUAGUUGUCCAUUUCACAUAACAAGUGAUUUUUUCAUAUGCAUCAAUCAAUUAAACCAUGCCACAUAAAAAUAAUAUUAUGCCCAUAUUGAUAUUUUUGCACUUUAGCAAUAUUUCCUUUUCUUUUUGCUUAUAUAUACAUACAUAUCCAUAUAUAUAGUCGUUUUAAAAUUUGAUGAUUCUCACCAUUCAAAAUACACUUGAAGAAUAAAGUGUCGUUUGGUGUUUGGGAGAGAGGAUAAGCCUGUGAAACCACAACCAACCACUACAAGAACAGACACACACACAGAGACAUGCACAGAAACAGACCCACAAGCUGCUUCCGUAAGGAGUAAGCAAGCAAGUAAGCAAGCAAGCAGGAUGUGGUGAUGGUGGUGCUGUCCAGCAUCGUCCCUUGCUCACCUCCAUCCUCCCACCCCCAACUCCCAAGCACCAAU